rnacentral:rRNA from 1 species
UACGUAGGGUGCAAGCGUUGUCCGGAAUUAUUGGGCGUAAAGAGCUCGUAGGCGGUUUGUCGCGUCGUUCGUGAAAACCUGCAGCUUAACUGUGGGCGUGCGGUCGAUACGGGCAUCACUGGAGUUCGGCAGGGGAGACUGGAAUUCCUGGUGUAGCGGUGAAAUGCGCAGAUAUCAGGAGGAACGCCAAAAGCGAAGGCAGCUCUCUGGGUCCCUACCGACGCUGGGGUGCGAAAGCAUGGGGAGCGAACAGG